GAUGAAGAACGCAGCGAAAUGCGAUAAGUAAUGUGAAUUGCAGAAUUCAGUGAAUCAUCGAAUCUUUGAACGCACAUUGCGCCCGCCAGUAUUCUGGCGGGCAUGCCUGUUCGAGCGUCAUUUCAACCAUCAAGCCCCCGGCUUGUGUUGGGGACCUGCGGCUGCCGCAGGCCCUGAAAAGCAGUGGCGGGCUCGCUGUCACACCGAGCGUAGUAGCAUACAUCUCGCUCUGGGCGUGCUGCAGGUUCCGGCCGUUAAACCACCUUCAUAACCCAAGGUUGACCUCGGAUCAGGUAGGAAGACCCGCUGAACUUAAGCAUAUCAUAAGCGGAGGA
rnacentral:misc_RNA from 1 species